GGGUUGUGAGGUUAAGCGACUAAGCGUACACGGUGGAUGCCCUGGCAGUCAGAGGCGAUGAAGGACGUGCUAAUCUGCGAUAAGCGUCGGUAAGGUGAUAUGAACCGUUAUAACCGGCGAUUUCCGAAUGGGGAAACCCAGUGUGUUUCGACACACUAUCAUUAACUGAAUCCAUAGGUUAAUGAGGCGAACCGGGGGAACUGAAACAUCUAAGUACCCCGAGGAAAAGAAAUCAACCGAGAUUCCCCCAGUAGCGGCGAGCGAACGGGGAGCAGCCCAGAGCCUGAAUCAGUGUGUGUGUUAGUGGAAGCGUCUGGAAAGGCGCGCGAUACAGGGUGACAGCCCCGUACACAAAAAUGCACAUGCUGUGAGCUCGAUGAGUAGGGCGGGACACGUGGUAUCCUGUCUGAAUAUGGGGGGACCAUCCUCCAAGGCUAAAUACUCCUGACUGACCGAUAGUGAACCAGUACCGUGAGGGAAAGGCGAAAAGAACCCCGGCGAGGGGAGUGAAAAAGAACCUGAAACCGUGUACGUACAAGCAGUGGGAGCACCCUUUUGGGUGUGACUGCGUACCUUUUGUAUAAUGGGUCAGCGACUUAUAUUCUGUAGCAAGGUUAACCGAAUAGGGGAGCCGAAGGGAAACCGAGUCUUAACUGGGCGUUAAGUUGCAGGGUAUAGACCCGAAACCCGGUGAUCUAGCCAUGGGCAGGUUGAAGGUUGGGUAACACUAACUGGAGGACCGAACCGACUAAUGUUGAAAAAUUAGCGGAUGACUUGUGGCUGGGGGUGAAAGGCCAAUCAAACCGGGAGAUAGCUGGUUCUCCCCGAAAGCUAUUUAGGUAGCGCCUCGUGAAUUCAUCUCCGGGGGUAGAGCACUGUUUCGGCAAGGGGGUCAUCCCGACUUACCAACCCGAUGCAAACUGCGAAUACCGGAGAAUGUUAUCACGGGAGACACACGGCGGGUGCUAACGUCCGUCGUGAAGAGGGAAACAACCCAGACCGCCAGCUAAGGUCCCAAAGUCAUGGUUAAGUGGGAAACGAUGUGGGAAGGCCCAGACAGCCAGGAUGUUGGCUUAGAAGCAGCCAUCAUUUAAAGAAAGCGUAAUAGCUCACUGGUCGAGUCGGCCUGCGCGGAAGAUGUAACGGGGCUAAACCAUGCACCGAAGCUGCGGCAGCGACGCUUAUGCGUUGUUGGGUAGGGGAGCGUUCUGUAAGCCUGUGAAGGUGUACUGUGAGGUAUGCUGGAGGUAUCAGAAGUGCGAAUGCUGACAUAAGUAACGAUAAAGCGGGUGAAAAGCCCGCUCGCCGGAAGACCAAGGGUUCCUGUCCAACGUUAAUCGGGGCAGGGUGAGUCGACCCCUAAGGCGAGGCCGAAAGGCGUAGUCGAUGGGAAACAGGUUAAUAUUCCUGUACUUGGUGUUACUGCGAAGGGGGGACGGAGAAGGCUAUGUUGGCCGGGCGACGGUUGUCCCGGUUUAAGCGUGUAGGCUGGUUUUCCAGGCAAAUCCGGAAAAUCAAGGCUGAGGCGUGAUGACGAGGCACUACGGUGCUGAAGCAACAAAUGCCCUGCUUCCAGGAAAAGCCUCUAAGCAUCAGGUAACAUCAAAUCGUACCCCAAACCGACACAGGUGGUCAGGUAGAGAAUACCAAGGCGCUUGAGAGAACUCGGGUGAAGGAACUAGGCAAAAUGGUGCCGUAACUUCGGGAGAAGGCACGCUGAUAUGUAGGUGAAGCGACUUGCUCGUGGAGCUGAAAUCAGUCGAAGAUACCAGCUGGCUGCAACUGUUUAUUAAAAACACAGCACUGUGCAAACACGAAAGUGGACGUAUACGGUGUGACGCCUGCCCGGUGCCGGAAGGUUAAUUGAUGGGGUUAGCGGCAACGCGAAGCUCUUGAUCGAAGCCCCGGUAAACGGCGGCCGUAACUAUAACGGUCCUAAGGUAGCGAAAUUCCUUGUCGGGUAAGUUCCGACCUGCACGAAUGGCGUAAUGAUGGCCAGGCUGUCUCCACCCGAGACUCAGUGAAAUUGAACUCGCUGUGAAGAUGCAGUGUACCCGCGGCAAGACGGAAAGACCCCGUGAACCUUUACUAUAGCUUGACACUGAACAUUGAGCCUUGAUGUGUAGGAUAGGUGGGAGGCUUUGAAGUGUGGACGCCAGUCUGCAUGGAGCCGACCUUGAAAUACCACCCUUUAAUGUUUGAUGUUCUAACGUUGGCCCCUUAUCGGGGUUGCGGACAGUGUCUGGUGGGUAGUUUGACUGGGGCGGUCUCCUCCUAAAGAGUAACGGAGGAGCACGAAGGUUGGCUAAUCCUGGUCGGACAUCAGGAGGUUAGUGCAAUGGCAUAAGCCAGCUUGACUGCGAGCGUGACGGCGCGAGCAGGUGCGAAAGCAGGUCAUAGUGAUCCGGUGGUUCUGAAUGGAAGGGCCAUCGCUCAACGGAUAAAAGGUACUCCGGGGAUAACAGGCUGAUACCGCCCAAGAGUUCAUAUCGACGGCGGUGUUUGGCACCUCGAUGUCGGCUCAUCACAUCCUGGGGCUGAAGUAGGUCCCAAGGGUAUGGCUGUUCGCCAUUUAAAGUGGUACGCGAGCUGGGUUUAGAACGUCGUGAGACAGUUCGGUCCCUAUCUGCCGUGGGCGCUGGAGAACUGAGGGGGGCUGCUCCUAGUACGAGAGGACCGGAGUGGACGCAUCACUGGUGUUCGGGUUGUCAUGCCAAUGGCACUGCCCGGUAGCUAAAUGCGGAAGAGAUAAGUGCUGAAAGCAUCUAAGCACGAAACUUGCCCCGAGAUGAGUUCUCCCUGACCCUUUAAGGGUCCUGAAGGAACGUUGAAGACGACGACGUUGAUAGGCCGGGUGUGUAAGCGCAGCGAUGCGUUGAGCUAACCGGUACUAAUGAACCGUGAGGCUUAACCUUACAACGCCGAAG
rnacentral:rRNA from 1 species